GGAUUAGAUACCCUGGUAGUCCACGCCGUAAACGAUGAGUGCUAGCCGUUUGAAGGUUACCUUCAAGUGGUGCAGUUAACGCGUUAAGCACUCCGCCUGGGGAGUACGAUCGCAAGAUUAAAACUCAAAGGAAUUGACGGGGGCCCGCACAAGCGGUGGAGCAUGUGGUUUAAUUCGACGCAACGCGAAGAACCUUACCAGGUCUUGACAUCCUGACUAUAGUUAUUAGAAAUAAUUUCUUUCAGUUCGGCUGGGUCAGUGACAGGUGCUGCAUGGCUGUCGUCAGCUCGUGCCG
rnacentral:rRNA from 1 species